rnacentral:rRNA from 1 species
CCUACGGGUGGCAGCAGUCGAGAAUCAUUCACAAUGGGGGAAACCCUGAUGGUGCGACGCCGCGUGGGGGAAUGAAGGUCUUCGGAUUGUAAACCCCUGUCAUGUGGGAGCAAAUUAAAAAGAUAGUACCACAAGAGGAAGAGACGGCUAACUCUGUGCCAGCAGCCGCGGUAAUACAGAGGUCUCAAGCGUUGUUCGGAAUCACUGGGCGUAAAGCGUGCGUAGGCUGUUUCGUAAGUAGUGUGUGAAAGGCGCGGGCUCAACCCGCGGACGGCACAUGAGACUGUGAGACGAGAGGAAUGGAGGGGGAACCGGAAUUCUCGGUGUAGCAGUGAAAUGCGUAGAUAUCGAGAGGAACACUCGUGGCGAAGGCGGGUUCCUGGACAUUAACUGACGCUGAGGCACGAAGGCCAGGGGAGCGAAAGGGAUUAGAUACCCUGGUAGUC